GUACUCACUUCGGCAGCACAUGUACAAAAAUUGGAACAAUACAGAAAAGAUUACCAUGGCCACUGUGCAAGGAUGACACACAAAUUCACAAAGAAUUCCAAAUUUUA
rnacentral:snRNA from 1 species